rnacentral:rRNA from 1 species
AGGAUAAACGCUGGCGGCGUGCCUAACACAUGCAAGUCGAACGCGCUUUCGUCUUCGGAGGAGAGCGAGUGGCGGACGGGUGAGUAACACAUGGGUACCUACCCCACAGUGAGGGAUACCGGCGAGAAAUCGCCGACAAUACCGCAUAGGCUUCUCUUUGGAGACGAGGAGAAGCAAAGUUGCGCAAGCGACGCUGAGGGAUGGGCCUGUGGCCGAUUAGCUAGUUGGGGGGUAACGGCCUCCCAAGGCUUCGAUCGGUAGCUGGUCUGAGAGGACGAUCAGCCACACUGGGAUUGAGAACGGCCCAGACUCCUACGGGGGGCAGCAGUGAGGAAUUUUCCGCAAUGGAGGCAACUCUGACGGAGCAACGCCGCGUGCAGGAUGAAGGUUUUCGGAUCGUAAACUGCUUUUCUCGGGGACGAGCAAGGGACGGUACCCGAGGAACGAAGCCCCGGCUAACUACGCGCCAGCAGCCGCGGUAA